UACAGAGGGGGCAAGCGUUGUUCGGAAUUACUGGGCGUAAAGGGCGCGUAGGCGGCCCGCUAAGUCGAACGUGAAAUCCCCGAGCUCAACUCGGGAACUGCGUCCGAUACUGGUGGGCUUGAAUUCGGGAGAGGAUAGCGGAAUUCCCAGUGUAGAGGUGAAAUUCGUAGAUAUUGGGAAGAACACCGGUGGCGAAGGCGGCUAUCUGGACCGACAUUGACGCUGAGGCGCGAAAGCGUGGGGAGCAAACAGGG
rnacentral:rRNA from 1 species